AUUGAACGCUGGCGGCAGGCCUAACACAUGCAAGUCGAACGAGUGGCGGACGGGUGAGUAAUGUCUGGGAACCUGCCUGAUGGAGGGGGAUAACUACUGGAAACGGUAGCUAAUACCGCAUACUAUCGGAUGUGCCGAGAUGGGAUUAGCUAGUAGGUGGGGUAAAGGCUCACCUAGGCGACGAUGCCUAGCUGGUCUGAGAGGAUGACCAGCCACACUGGGACUGAGAAACGGUCCAGACUCCUACGGGAGGCAGCAGUGGGGAAUAUUGGACAAGUGGCGCAAGCCUGAUGCAGCCAUGCCGCGGGUAUGAAGAAGGCCUUCGGGUUGUAAAGUACUUUCAGCGGGGAGGCGGUACCCGCAGAAGAAGCACCGGCUAACUACGUGCCAGCAGCCGCGGUAAUAC
rnacentral:rRNA from 1 species